AAGUGAAUACUUCACCGAACGUCUAAGUCACGACCUCACGGCUGAUAGUUGGAUUAAUCGAGUGUCUCCGCAGAACAAACAAUGACGAUCCAGCUUCGUGUUGUGACACAGUGGCCGUAUCUUACACUCGACCUUGUAGAUGCCACUUGUAGUUGACUUCCACUCGCUCGAUCGUAUGAUGGUCCGUGCUGCUAGCGGGGUAACAGCGGUGCCGGAGAAUUAUUCUUGCUGGAAUAUCAGCUGCGUAUCAGAUCACUGGCGGGGUAGCCUGCCCCUACCAGUGUGCAGAAGAUGUUUCUGCCGAUAUAUUGCAGGCUAUUGUUAUCGCACACAAGAACUAAUCGAAAAAAAAACACCCGUACGAUAACUCGUGUAUUGUUAUUUUGCGAAUCAAACGGAGAUAAACAAUUUGCGUCUAAUCAAGACGAAAGCAAAACAACGAAUGAAAAUAGUAUUUCCGUUAUAUAUUACAUUGAACUUUGCAGACCUCUUGUGAUUAACUGAAAUCGACCAGUUCCGAAAGCAUCAACCAGCGAAUAUCUUUCACCGACACGUAUUCGAUGAUCUUAUACCAGCGUCCCAGAGACAUACGACCUGCCGACUCAUUUUCUCGAAUCGGACAGAACGUUAGGAUGUUAUUAACGGUAGCUUGCGAAAAAAAAAUGAAACUUCAGCAUACGCAGGUAUCAAGAGGUUCUAAUAAAUGACUAGCUUCGCCGCGAUGGAAUGAACUGCUGCAUCUGGUUGAUGACACGAUAAUACUGGACGGCGCAAAUCUUUCACCGACUAUCUCACUAACCGCCAAACAGAUGGAUUUUGCUGCCGGAGCCAAAAUUGGAACCCGAAGUUGCUUCAUGGAAACACAGAAAUAACAGCUGAUAAUAUGUGAAAAUGACAUAGAUAAUAGCGAUGAGACCAUCAGAAAUGCAUCAUAGAGCGUAAUAGCAUAAGCAUACUUUUGGCUCUCCUGAAGGUAACCAACUUUUUGGGAGACAAACGUGCUGAACGCGGCUCACAUUAAACCUUCCUUAUCUACAUUAGUCUGAGUUGACAGCAUUUUGCGCCGAUAUUAACAUUAUUGCUACCAUUUACUGCUGGUGUCCCGCUACACCAUGGAUAAAGGCGACAUUGUUCUGUUGGAGAAUAAAAAAUGAAGACCGGCACCAGAUUCAGAAAUACCGAAUACCGAAAUCAGCCACCAAUGCACGAAUCACUUCUGACUUCGACGUCAUUAGCUUCAAGCUGCCGAUAUAAGAGUUGGUCACUUUAACGUAGUUCAAGAUUCACAACUAAAACUAGCUACUACUGCAAUUUUACGGAAAUUUACAGAAAAACUUUAACAAACUAUUAUGAAGCAUGUUUAUAUGCUUACAUCACGCAUGGUUUAUGGUAUACCCGAAGCGGGUUUAAGGAGCCAAACAGCCAGCCAAUCGUAUUCCGGGAGUAUAUCCAUUCAUCGUUAGUUAUAAUCAUGGAAUAACAGCUGAUAAUUUGAGAAACUUAAAUAGUUUCAGAUACUGAUAGCGAUAGGCCAUCAGGAACUCACCAUGAAGCGUAGUGGCAAAAGCAUACUUUUGAUACACCCGUAGGGUGACAAACCAUUCUUAUCUUCAUCGAACAAACCUGACAGCCUUUAACGCCGUUAGAAGUCUCAGUCAUCCGCAUCACCCGAUCGAAAUCGAUGAAAAGAUAUACUAGAAAUGUUCACAACAUAAUAAACUUCAAUUUUACGGAAUCUGCAAAAACCCGAACAAACUAUUGUGAAGCAUAGUGACAUAAACAUAUUUAUGGCCCGCUAGAAGGUAAACGGGUUUUGAGAAGCCAAACGGCUCGCCUAUCAUAUUUCGGAAAUAUAUUUAUUUAUUGGUACUAACUAUUUUAUAGAAUUAUUUCUUGCGUAGGGCUAAAAAUGUACUAAAAUCCAUCUGCUUGAAGCAUUAU